UACGAAGGUGGCAAGCGUUACUCGGAAUUACUAGGCGUAAAGGGCAGGUAGGUGGUUCGAUAAGACUGUUGUGAAAUCUCCCGGCUUAACUGGGAGAGGUCAACAGAUACUGUCGGACUUGAGUAUAGGAGAGGGUACUGGAAUUCCCGGUGUAGCGGUGAAAUGCGCAGAGAUCGGGAGGAACACCAAUGGCGAAAGCAGGUACCUGGACUAUUACUGACACUCAACUGCGAAAGCUAGGGGAGCAAACAGG
rnacentral:rRNA from 1 species